rnacentral:rRNA from 1 species
ACGCUGGCGGCGUGCUUAACACAUGCAAGUCGAGCGGUAAGGCCCUUUCGGGGGUACACGAGCGGCGAACGGGUGAGUAACACGUGGGUGACCUGCCCUCAGCUCUGGGAUAAGCCUGGGAAACCGGGUCUAAUACUGGAUAUGACUCCAUGACGCAUGUUGUGGGGUGGAAAGCCUUGUGCGGCUGAGGAUGGGCCCGCGGCCUAUCAGCUUGUUGGUGGGGUGAUGGCCUACCAAGGCGACGACGGGUAGCCGGCCUGAGAGGGCGACCGGCCACACUGGGACUGAGACACGGCCCAGACUCCUACGGGAGGCAGCAGUGGGGAAUCUUGCGCAAUGGGCGAAAGCCUGACGCAGCGACGCCGCGUGAGGGAUGACGGCCU